GGUCCACUACUAGCUAGAUUUGGAACCCAAUGGAUCACACACUUUGAGAUUUAACUUUAAUCUAAUUUAUUUAGAAUUUAAUAUAAAUUUUAUAGGUUAAUUUGAUAUGCUAGCAUAUUGUAUUAACCUAAGUUUCUAAAUUGGUUUGGUUCAAAGUGUUUGAGCUAACCUAAACUAGUUGCCUUUGAUCCAAUGGGAUUGGGUCAAUUUAAAUUAGAACCUUAUCCAACUUGAAUUAGUUUUAAGUGGAGAAGGACUCCUCUGUGCCCACUAGAAGUCACACAAAAAAUAAAUGCCACCUCAUCUCAAAUUAGCAUGUGAAAUGGAGAGUCCUUCUUAAAGAAGGCUCUUAAUUAAAUGCAUUGCCUUAAAAGAUAAACCAGAUAUCCAUUCAUU
rnacentral:lncRNA from 1 species